ACAUUGGGCAUAUCAUUCCUCUGUUUUGUGAGAAAACAACUAUGUGAAAGAGUGCAAAAGCUAUUCCGGUGAUUCAACAAAAUGAUGCAUUAAGAAUGGGAUACAUUGGGAAUGUGAGACAAACAUCCUCGAUGUAGAGAUGCGCCUGUUGAGCCUCCCCAUGUCGUGUUAGACUCUCGUAUAUUCGCAACUCAUUAGUUGAAUUGAUCUUUUUUAAUGUUUACACACCAU
rnacentral:lncRNA from 1 species